AGAGACAUUAUUGCUCUCUACAACUAAAAGGAGGUUGUAGAGAGGAGAGAGUUAAUCUCUCCUCACAGGGUUGACCUCUGCAGGUGCAGCAGAUUUCUCCAGUUGAGCCUUUAGCCCAAGAAUCAGGGAGGAGGGUGGAGAUUGAUAGCUGUGCUAUGGAGAUAAGUUAUUUGCUCAGAAAAGCCUCUCUGGACCUCAUCAGCCCCUAAAGUGAAGUUCACAGCUCUCCAGUGGCCUCCUGAAUAGACUCACUUCUCACCAGUCCCAGAGGAGUGGCAGAGCAUGCAAAAAGGGCUCAGCCUGAGGUGGAUCUCAAGGAGUUGAGCUGUCAGCAGGUGCUUUGUGGCCAGGGCUGAAGAAAACACUGCACAAAGGCUGUGGCACUUUGGGAACACCCAAAGGGGCACCCAAGCUUUAACUCAGCUCAGUGUCUUUAAGACUGAGGCAGAGUGGGAGGAAAAUUAACCAGAAGUGAGGCAGAAAAGCCACAACACAACAUAUUAAAUUCUUGGAAAUCAGGCCUUAAAAGCAGGAAUGGCUGUGGAGGCUGACUCCUCCACCUACGAAUUCAGCUGCCUGUGGCCUUCAGGUGCUCAGUUUGCAGGUAAUGAGGCACUCAGGUGUCCCCUGGGUAGGACCAGAAGCCAUUCUCGUGCUCCUGCUGAGGACAUCUUGAGCGGGGUUGAUGUGUGACCCUUGCCCAGAACACGAGUGUGAGUCAGACUGCUGCACUGGCUUCCCACACAUUCAUCCCCUGUGUCACCUAACUGUGGCCAAACUUUUAUCACUGUUCUGCUUUCUUUAUCACACUGCUCUGCCCAGGCUUCCCAGCUAGUUGAGGAAUCCCCAGGCAAUGAGACAUAAAGCAGGGUCUGCAUCCAAACCUAUCACACAGCCAUAAAUACAGCUGGCAGGAGACUCAGACCCAGGGAUUGUCUUGGUGCUCUCUCUCUGACCUGAGAUGGCAGCUUGACCCCUGCAAUAGCUCUUUCCAUGCUCUCCAGUUGAAUGGAGGCCCAUCUAAAUUCAACAAACCCUCUUU